GUGAGUUUAGUUCCUCCGCCGAAAGUGUACCACAGUGAUACAUUCCAAUGAAGCCGUCGUACAAAAACCUCUGUUACACUCCAGUGAUGAACCACACACACUCACACUCACACACACACACACACACACACACACACACACUCAGUCCUCUGGAUAUGUAUCAGAUGUAUCCAGUCAGAAUCUGGGUGUAUAAAAUGGUGUGAGUGUAAUAUUGUUCUGUAAUAUUUAGAGUGUUUUCUUUGUUGUGUUUUAGGUUCAGGAGGGGUUCUAGAUAUUUCCAUAGAGAGGUUCCACUUUGCAUUAUCAGCCCAUGCUUCAGUGCUCUGCUAGUGUUUAUAGUCCUGUGAGUUUAACACUUCAUGACUGAGAGCUGCUGCCCAGCAACUUCACCCACAGCAACCAUGACUUUCUUCUCCAUCUUCAUCUGGACUCUCACUCUCUGGAUUCAGGAAUCCAGUGGUCAGGUGACUGUGGAUCAGACUCCUACAGUGAAAUCAGUUUCUCCAGGAGAAUCACUUUCUAUCAGCUGUAGAACCAGCGCUGAUGUGUUCGGGGAUAGUGCUCUUGCCUGGUAUCAGCAGAAACAUGGAGAAGCUCCUAAACUCCUGAUUUAUGAUGCAGAUACAAAUUAUGGUGAAACUCCAGAUCGUUUCAGUGGUAGUGGAUCUGGAUCUUCCUUCACUCUGACCAUCAGUAACAUCCAGCCUGAAGAUGCAGCAGAUUAUUACUGUCAGAGUGUUCACUAUAUCAGUGAUAGCUUAGUGUUCACACAGUGUUACAGAGCUGUACAAAAAACCCCUCACUCACACACUGCACUGCUGCACCUACUGCAGGAACUACACAAUACACACACACUGCUACACACUUACACACAAUAACACAAUACAUACGGCUCAACAGAC